AUGCGGACGUGGAUAUAACCGUUGUAGGUUUUCUGAUUUUUCCUUCUUUUUUUUUAGUAUUUAUCUCUUUCCCCUUUAUAUUCCCCCUCCCCUGCUUCUUAUUGUUUUGCGAUUAAUUCCCAAAAAAAUCUCCAUCCCCUGCUCCUUAUUGUUCUUCGAUUAAUUCUAAAAAAUCCCCCAAAAUUACAACCCUUCUCUUCUCACAUCCUUCUAUUGUAAUCUAAUCUCAAUUUUAGGAUAAUGCGGCAACAUUCAUCUGGAUCAAGUUCAUCUUCAAACUCUAGGGGAGUUGCAGACCCUGUAAUUAAAUGCAAUUGUGGGAGGAAUGUUGUGCCAAGGACAGUGAAGAAGGGGGUAAAUGUGGGAAGGAAGUUUUAUGGCUGCCCAUUUUGGCUCGAUACUCAGUGUGCAAUGUUUAGGUGGAUCUCAGACAUAAACGAUGGUGAAGAUGUUUAAUAUCAGAUACUCGAGAGAGACACAACCAUUGCUGAAUUGGAGCAUGAAAAAAAAAAUGUUGGAAGAGAAGAUAAAGAAAUUACAAGUGAAAAAGGAAAAUUUAGAGGAAUAUCUGCAAGAAUUUAAGACUGAACUUGGCCAAAUUAGGAUAGAAUUAUUGAGGUGCUCAAGGAAUGAGAAGAACUUUUCAAUGGCACUUCUAUUUUCUUGAAUUUUCUUUGCGUUUCUUCUUUUCUAUUUAAAGUAGAUAGUAGUAUGUCUGUUGUGUAACAAGAAUGUGCAAGUGCCAUUGACAGUUAUGUUAUAUGCUUUUCUGCCUUAUGGUAUUAAAUAAAGAGUUGGAUUUUGUUGAAA